AUGUGUGGUGAUGAUUUUCGGAAAGAAUUUGGGCCGAAUGGAAGGCUAACAGUUACUGGUUGGGUUUGCUUGAGCCGAAUGAUCACUUACAAGGAAGGGCUCAUGUACGGUUCAUGGCAGAUCAGGUGGCACCAUGUGUUUGAUGUGCGCUUUGUGCUUGCCUUGAUGUACAACUCAUACAGUCUAGAUUUCGAAUUCAUGAAUACAAUGAUGAGCUUUGAGGCGCUUGGAUAUAGGCUUCAGUGGACCAAGAAGCUGAUGCUGCCAGUGCCAUACCACAAUUCGUGGUCUCUCUAUGUUGUUGAUGUCGACGAGAAGACGCUACUUGUUAUGGACCCGUGCGAGACCUCAAAUGGAGAGGACGCCAUGAAACUGAAGCACGAAGAUAAUGCAAACCACAUCAUCGAGGGACUCCGUCGAUGCAUCCAUGAAAACAUUGCAGGCUGGUAUGUGCCAGCUCAAGGGUGGAGGGUGAACUACAAUGUAGGGAUGCACCCCAACAGCAAAAUGGAGUUCACGGGCCUGUACAUCUACAAUCCUCUCACAAAGAAUCGCCUACACUACUUCUGGCAGAUGAUUGCUUACGAGGUCAUUUCAAUGAGGGGAAACAAAGCAGAGCUACCUGAUUUUAUGCUGGAGAUGGUGCCAUUCUGA
rnacentral:rRNA from 1 species